UACGGGAGGUGCAAGCGUUGUUCGGAGUGACUGGGCGUAAAGCGCACGUAGGUGGGCUUGUAAGUCGGAUGUGAAAUCCCUGGGCUUAACCUGGGAACUGCAUCCGAAACUAUAAGUCUUGAAUGCUUCAGAGGUCGGUAGAAUUCCAGGUGUAGGAGUGAAAUCCGUAGAUAUCUGGAGGAAUACCGGAGGCGAAGGCGGCCAACUGGGAAUGCAUUGACACUGAGGUGCGAAAGCGUGGGGAGCAAACAGG
rnacentral:rRNA from 1 species